GACGAACGCUGGCGGCGUGCUUAACACAUGCAAGUCGAACGGAAAGGCCCUGCUUUUGUGGGGUGCUCGAGUGGCGAACGGGUGAGUAACACGUGAGUAACCUGCCCUUGACUUUGGGAUAACUUCAGGAAACUGGGGCUAAUACCGGAUAGGAGCUCCUGCUGCAUGGUGGAGGUUGGAAAGUUUCGGCGGUUGGGGAUGGACUCGCGGCUUAUCAGCUUGUUGGUGGGGUAGUGGCUUACCAAGGCUUUGACGGGUGGCCGGCCUGAGAGGGUGACCGGCCACAUUGGGACUGAGAUACGGCCCAGACUCCUACGGGAGGCAGCAGUGGGGAAUAUUGCACAAUGGGCGGAAGCCUGAUGCAGCAACGCCGCGUGCGGGAUGACGGCCUUCGGGUUGUAAACCGCUUUCGCCUGUGACGAAGCGUGAGUGACGGUAAUGGGUAAAGAAGCACCGGCUAACUACGUG
rnacentral:rRNA from 1 species